rnacentral:rRNA from 1 species
GGCUACCGCUAUUGGAGUUCGAUUAAGCCAUGCGAGUCGCGAGUCUUAGGGACUCGGCGUACCGCUCAGUAACACGUGGGUAACCUGCCCUAUGCUGGGGGAUAACCUCGGGAAACUGAGAAUAAUACCCCAUAGUUCACCACGCCUGGAACGGUGGGUGGACCAAAGCUCCGGCGGCAUAGGAUGGGCCUGCGGCGUAUCAGGUUGUAGGGGGUGUAAUGUACCCUCUAGCCCUCUACGCGUACGGGUGUUGAGAGACAUCGCCCGGAGAUGGAUUCUGAGACACGAAUCCAGACCCUACGGGGUGCAGCAGGCGCGAAAACUUGGCAAUGCGAGAAAUCGUGACCAGGGAACUCCAAGUGCAUCGGGUAAGACCGAUGCUUUUCUUGACUCUUCAAAGGUCUUGGAAUAAGGGGUGGGUAAGGACGGUGCCAGCCGCCGCGGUAAUACCGGCGCCCCAAGUGGUAGUCGCUUUUAUUGGGCCUAAAACGUCCGUAGCCGGUCUGGUACAUUCGUGGGUAAAUCAACCAGCUCAACUGGUUGAAUUCUGCGAGCACGGCCAGACUUGGGACCGGGAGAGGUGUGGGGUACUCUCAGGGUAGGGGUAAAAUCCUGUCAUCCUGAGGGGACCACCUGUUGCGAAGGCGCCACACUAGAACGGAUCCGACGGUCAGGGACGAAGCCUAGGGGCACGAACCGGAUUAGAUACCCGGGUAGUCCUAGGUGUAAACGCUGUGGACUUGAUGUUGGGGGCGCUCCGAGCGCACUCAGUGUCGAAGCGAAGGUGAUAAGUCCACUGCCUGGGGAGUACGGUCGCAAGGCUGAAACUUAAAGGAAUUGGCGGGGGAGCACCGCAACCUGAGGAUUGUGCGGUUU